UCCAGAUAAGAAAACUGAAGCCUAGAAGCUUCGUAACUUACCUGGGGUGAGCUAAAUUAAUUCUUCUGCCUCUGGAUGUCCAUACAUGGUAGGUAAGUCCAACCCUGAGAAGAGAUGUGGCCACUAUGUGGGAAGCUUAUUUUCUACAAAGUUUACUGUGGGGAAGAGAGAAGCAGAAAAGAAAUACAAUAAAGUCAUGGAAGAAACGUUUGCUCACUUUUACCCUAGAUCAAGAACAAGAGAAAGUUCAGAGAAAGCAAACAGCACCACCCGGAGGCUGAGAAGGCAGCUUGCUCUUUUAUUUUGGCUCAAAAUAGUGUCCCUGCAGCUCAGCCUCAGCCUGGAAUCACAAGGCAAAGGAGACCUUAUACCAAAUGCAAUAUAUCAGCAGCAAUUCAGUAACAGUCAAACAGAACUGAAGAGACAAGCUACUGUUAUGAGGAAACUGGGUAACAGAUGAAUGAAUUGCAAACCAGAAGUUGAUCAUAAGAAGACUCGAGUUCCAAUAUGCAAAAAAAACAAACAAAAAAAAUGUACAAAAGCUUUUGGUAAUUUUUAAAACAUGAAAGAAAUACAAACUUGAAAUGCUAACA